UUAGGCUAUCUCUUAUCUUAAAACAGAGGCUAAGUAGAUUCAGACCCAGUUAGUCCUUGGAUGGGAGACUGCCCGGAAAUGUCAGAUGCUAUUGCCUAGG
rnacentral:rRNA from 1 species